rnacentral:rRNA from 1 species
GACGAACGCUGGCGGCGUGCCUAACACAUGCAAGUCGAACGGAAAGGUCUCUUUCGGGGGGUACCCGAGUCGCGAACGGGUGAGUAACACGUGAGUAACCUGCCCUUCACUUUGGGAGAACUUCAGGAAACUGGGGCUAAUACCGGAUAGGAGCUCCUGCGGCAUGGUGGGGGUUGGAAAGGUUCGGCGUUUGGGGUUGGGCUCGCGGCUUCUCAGCUUGUUGGUGGGGUAGUGGCUUACCACGGCUUUGACGGGUAGCCGGCCUGGGUGGGUGACCGGCCACAUUGGGACUGAGAUACGGCCCAGACUCCUACGGGAGGCAGCAGUGGGGAAUAUUACUCAAUGGGUGGAGGCCUGAUGCAGCACCGCCGUGUGCGCGAUGACGGCCUUGGGGUUGUAAUCCGCAUUCGCUCAUGACGGAGCUUUGUGUGACGGUAGUGGGUAAAGAAGCACCGGCUAACUCCGUG